rnacentral:ncRNA from 1 species
GAACGCCGGGUGCGGUGAAAGCCGCAUGCCCGGUGUGGAGCGGGGGAAAAGGCGGAGAUAACUUCAAAGCCUUACCUAUCGCUAU